rnacentral:rRNA from 1 species
UACGAGGGGGGCAAGCGUUGUUCGGAAUUAUUGGGCGUAAAGGGCGCGUAGGCGGCCUGCUAAGUCGAACGUGAAAUCCCCGGGCUCAACCCGGGAACUGCGUCCGAUACUGACAGGCUUGAAUCCGGGAGAGGGAUGCGGAAUUCCAGGUGUAGCGGUGAAAUGCGUAGAUAUCUGGAGGAACACCGGUGGCGAAGGCGGCAUCCUGGACCGGCAUUGACGCUGAGGCGCGAAAGCCAGGGGAGCAAACGGG